ACUAAUAUCGCGAUUGACUUGUUCUUCUCUUUCUUCAAACCUACAAACAAACAUAUUGCGAUUCAAACCGAGAACAAGAUUCCUUUUUCUUUUCUCUUAAAUCUAUAUUGAUAUUUCAAUCACUGCAUGAAAUCAAAGACCAUUCUCUCCGAUUCUUGAUCCCCAUUUAUUGUAAUUCUUCUUUCUUCUCUACGAUUCAUCGGUGAAGAGAUCGACGAACCGAAUCGGGGUGUUGAGAUGCGAUAGACAGGUAAGGGGGAGAUGGAUAGAGGAUACAAUUCCUUGCUGAAAAGACCAACAAGUCCAAGAUUGCGUCAAUGUGGUGGCCUCCCAUUGGGUGAACGGUGUAAAAGGGAAUUGAAACUUUUAUAUUUAUGAUCUUUUUCCUUUUCCAUCCUAAGGAAAAGACCAAAUAAUCACAAACCCUAAAAAACCUGUAUCUUCCCCUUCCCCUCUCUCUAUUGUUUCUUAUAUCCAUGCUCUGAAGUUUCGACUCAUAGGGUAUGGCUACUGAGAGUGCUUCUCGAUCGAGCUUAGCAGUCGAUUCGUAUAUAGGGAGCUUGAUAUGUUUGACUUCCAAGAGUGAGAUCAGAUAUGGAGGCAUUCUUAAUCUCAAAUUCACACUACCUUUGUCUGUAUAGAAUUUAAGAUCUUGCUUAAAUUUCACACAACAUUCUUAUUAUACGAUCCUUAGAACAGAAGGAAAGAAAAAGGAUGAUCACAAAUUCCACCAAGUGACAAAGUCUAUGAAUAUAUAUUAUUCCCUGGAAGUGAAAUCAAGGAUUUGCAGGUCAAAUCUUCUCCACCCACUCACCCUGCUUAACCUACACCACCAAUUAACAAUGAUCCAGCUAUCAUUCAGAUAGGGGAGAUUGGGAGUGCUUUAGUAAAUGUUUAGAGUUUGGUAUUAAAUUUUUACUAAUUAAAAUUCAUUGCAGCCAACGAUUAUCUUCUAGAACUGUGUGCAAGCUAUCUUGCAAAAAAAUUUGUAUGUGCCAAACUUUUAUUUGCUUAUUACAAGAACUUUAUACUACUACACUUGCAUUAGUGUGUAAUUAUUUUUGCACAGUAUAUUUGGAUUGGUAUGGGUUAUCCUUAUCAUUUCUAUAUGAAGGAAUGUUUUAAUCUUAUUUAUUAUGUAGGGAUUUAGUUUUGGACAUUUUUAUUCUCAUGUAUUGAAUUAAUUUCUACAUUUGUAAUAAUUUAUUCCCUCAACUUCACAAGUUCAUGCAUUUUUUUCAUGUUUAUUAUUCAUAGCUGAUUAUCAGGUUUAUCUUAUUCAUACUUUUUUCUCAACUUUACAAGUUCAUGCCUUUUUCUUAAUGGUGUUGCUGGUUGAUUGCUUAUGAGGGGGUUUUUAGAUUAGGAUUUCUGUUAAUUGCUUGCUGAGUCUCGAUGAUGGCGUCAUGGUCGGUGGUGUGCUUGCAAACAUUGAUUCGGUUUCUAGGGAGAUGGUGGUGGCUGAGGCAGAGGCUUCGAAACCAGGUCGAUUUGGGAACGGAAAGGGUUGGAAGGUAGUAGUUCGAUGGAAUCAUAAUGUUCAUUCCAUUCUUGACUCGCCAAAGCUUGAAUCACAUUCCCAAAUAGACCAAUUAUUGAGGAUAAGUUCGGUUUGCUUCAGACAUGAAGGCUUUGAGUGAUGAUUUUGAAAGAUUUAUAUCGUUUAAUCCAUGACAUAUAUAUCCUAAGCAAGGAGCAUGAGAAGAUGAUACAACUCACCAUGGUUUUCAGAGCACAUUUUUUUCCAUAUAUAUUAUUUUGUUUGGAGUUCUUGUUGCACAAUGAAUGUUAAUUCUGCCAAAGUGAAAUGCAUCCCAACUACUACGAGUAGUACCAUUGAUUCUUUCUGCAUUUUGAAUUCUAAACUGAAUUUAUUGACCAUGUCUAUUCAUGUGACACAAGAAAUAUUUUUACAAUAUUAAAUUUAUUUGUAAUUUCAUAACUACUAUCAUAGCUUUAAUGCAUUAUUAUAAUAAAGUGUUGAAUGUAAUUUCUUUUUUUCGAAAAAAAUGAUGUAAUCCUUAAACAAAAGAUAUAUCCAAAAUCUUAAAGAAAAAAAAAGACCAAACUUCAAAUAAAACUAACAAUACGUGGCUAGGCACG